CACGAAUUCCCCCUCUCCCAUGCAGUCACCAACAUCUGUGACCUGGGGGAGCCAGCCCUGAAAGCCCCAAAAACAAGGCAAAUGAUCGAAUCCCAACAUUUCCCCGGAUCUCUGCGGAGUAGUUGGCCAGAGCUGCUCCAUGGAGUGGAGGCUGCUGAGGGCCAAGCACGAGGAGGAGGGGCUCACACGGGCCUCGGGCCAUCAUAGAUGUUUCGCCAAGUUUCCACCUCUGUGCUGUAUCGGUCAAUUCCUGCUGAGUAGUCUUGAACUCGUCUUCGCUCUUUCCUGUGAAACUGGUCAGUGUGCAUAAUAAAUCCAGUGUUGUUCUCAUCUCA